rnacentral:lncRNA from 1 species
CAUAAUAAUCUUAAGCAAGUUUUAAUCAAAUUGAAAGAAACCUCAAAGAAAUUUGAAAGAAACAAUAAAAAAAACUUAAAGAAAUAUUAGAAUGAUCACAAAUAUCACUCAAAUACAUCUCAAUUCAAACUUAAUUUAAUUCUAAUAAAAUUCUAUUGGACUUCAUUCAAACUUUAGGCCAAAAUUAAUUAAAUUUCAAACCCUAAUAAAAUCCUAAAUCCUAAAUCAAAUCCUAAAUCCUAAACCAAAUCCUAAUUAAACCCUAAAUCCUAAAUCAAACCCUAAAUUCUAAACCAGACCCUAAAAUAAAUCCUAAACUUUAAAUUAAAUCCUAAUCAAAUCUUAAUUCAAAUCCUAAAUACUAAAUCAAACUCUAAAUCAAAUCCUAAACACUAAAUCAAAUCUUAAUCAAAUCCUAAUCCACAUCCUAAAUCCUAAAUCAAACUCUAAAUAAAUCCUAAAUCCUAAAUCAAACCCUAACCAAACCCUAAUCUUAAAUCAAAUCUUAACCAAAUUCUAACCUUAAAUCAAAUCCUAAUCAAAUUCUAAACCCUAAACCAAUCCUAACCAAAUCCUAAUCCAAAUCCUAAACCCUAAAUCAAACCCUAAAUCAUAAAUCAAAUCCUAACCAAACCCUAACCUUAAAUCAAAUCCUAACCAAAUCCUAAUCCUAAAUCAAAUCCUAACCAAAUUGUAAACCCUAAACCAAUCCCUAAACAAAUCCUAGUAAUUCCUACAAU